ACUCUUCUUUUAAGGAUUUAGGGAAAUAGGUGCAUUGAAUCAAGUAUCUCUUUCCACCCCAAAUCCCUUUAAUCCCUCUCCCUGUGGUACCCACAGAAUCAACCAAAACCAGCCUGCUCAGAAGCCAGAUGUCCGCCCUCAAGAGCCCACCUAGCAGUGAGAGAAAGGACUGUCUCUCCAAAUCCAGCAGCUGGACCCUUUCUCUGAGUGACAGAGAGAUGAGCAUCCUGCUGACGCAUGAGUAUCCGGACGACAGAUCGUCAGCUAGAUGGACUGGAGAGGGAAGCCAAGUCUACGAUGACAACUUUUCAGAGGUGUCCUCAGAGAGCUGGCUUCAGAUCCACGGCCUGGUGGCCAGGAAGCUCACCAUCAUGGACGCCUUGUCAGGGACCAUGGUGCCCCACAGCCCCACCUACGUCCCCAUCUUGGACAAGCAUGUCUCCUCCAAGGUCUUUGAUGAGGUAACCCGAUGGUCUUCAUGUCGCCGCUUGGGAUAUGUUUAGUUUUCUGUUUAAAUAAAAAUGAACCCAGUGCAGUUUCCUGCAGCUGUAACAAGCAUAUUUCAGCCAUGGGAAGAAAUCGUCCUUAAGGCAGGGACAGGGAAAGAGAGAGGCACUCAAAAGUCCUUGGUUUAAGUUGAGACAGGCGGCGGAGGGCUCGUCCCUCCUGUGGAAGUCCAGAGCUGCAGAAGUGCUUGGAAGCCUA
rnacentral:lncRNA from 1 species